rnacentral:rRNA from 1 species
GACGAACGCUGGCGGCGUGCUUAACACAUGCAAGUCGAACGGAAAGGCCCUGCUUUUGUGGGGUGCUCGAGUGGCGAACGGGUGAGUAACACGUGAGUAACCUGCCCUUGACUUUGGGAUAACUUCAGGAAACUGGGGCUAAUACCGGAUAGGAGCUCCUGCUGCAUGGUGGGGGUUGGAAAGUUUCGGCGGUUGGGGAUGGACUCGCGGCUUAUCAGCUUGUUGGUGGGGUAGUGGCUUACCAAGGCUUUGACGGGUAGCCGGCCUGAGAGGGUGACCGGCCACAUUGGGACUGAGAUACGGCCCAGACUCCUACGGGAGGCAGCAGUGGGGAAUAUUGCACAAUGGGCGGAAGCCUGAUGCAGCAACGCCGCGUGCGGGAUGACGGCCUUCGGGUAGUAAACCGCUUUCGCCUGUGACGAAGCGUGAGUGACGGUAAUGGGUAAAGAAGCACCGGCUAACUACGU